rnacentral:rRNA from 1 species
AUGGCUACAGGAUUAACGCUGGCGGCGUGCCUAAUACAUGCAAGUCGGAUGGUUAGCUUGCUAACCAUGGCGAACGGGUGAGUAACACGUAGGUAACCUGUCUUAAAGACGAGGAUAACCAUUGGAAACGAUGGAUAAUACUGGAUAGGAUAUAUAAGGGCAUCCUGAUAUAUUUAAAGAUUUAUCACUUUAUGAGGGGCCUGCGGCGCAUUAGUUAGAUGGCGGUGUAAAGGACCACCAUGACGAUGAUGCGUAGCCGGACUGAGAGGUUGAACGGCCACAAUGGGACUGAGAACGGCCCAUACUCCUACGGGAGGCAGCAGUAGGGAAUUUUCGGCAAUGGACGGAAGUCUGACCGAGCAACGCCGCGUGAACGAAGAAGUAUUUCGGUAUGUAAAGUUCUUUUAUUUGGGAAGAAAAGAUAAGAUUGACUGUACCAAAUGAAUAAGCUCCGGCUAACUACGUGCCAGCCGCCGC